GGGGGCGAUAGGGCUCGACGGGGGUUAUGAGGCUCAAGUGGCAUGCGGUGGCUCCAUCACCACCUAAAAAGAUGGAAAAAAACACAAACGCCAACAACGAACUGGCACUCGCUGCUUAACCAAUAGCAGCACGCUCCUUUAAAGUUGCCUGUGCUUUAGAGAAAGCGUCGAUCAGCAGGCUGCCGUCAGAUGAUACCCUUAAUUCUGGUGGGAGAUUCAAGGGAUAGGAUAUUGGAAGGCCUGCCUGUUGGCAAGACAAUAUCCGAGAAUGAAAUAAGCAGGAUAAGCAUGUAGAAGCUUGAGAGUAGUACUUUCGGACGCGGGUUCGAUUCCCGCCGCCUCCACCA
rnacentral:tmRNA from 1 species